CAUUUCGAAAAUUAUAUCAUAGACAUAUCGAAUGAUUUAAAUGAAUAUCUAAAAUAGUUAAUCAUAUAUCAAACGUGUGUGUUCAAAAAUGUGUAUAACUCGUCUUUUUUCUUAAAAAAAUCAAUUAUUUUCUUAAUUUUUAUUAUUUUCACGAGAUAAUUUUCUCAAUACAGUUUACAUCAUUUUUUUUAUAAAAAGUGUAUGACGUCAAUUUUUUUUUACGUAGGAUAAAUAUUUAGAACGAUAAAAAGUAAGAGAAUAACUAUAAUUGGUGAUUUGGAAGGGAAAACAAUGGAUUUUGACCUCGAAAACGAUGCCCACCCAGCAAAAGUUAUGGCCAAAUUACCAAAAAUACGUUUAAAAAAAACUAAACUUUGAACACUCCGCGCUGGUGAAACACUUACAGCAGCGCGGAGUUCAACAUUUUUUUUCUUCAAUAUUCAAGAGAUGAAGAUUACAGCUCCACACAAGAACUAAAAAAUAGUGGAGUAAAUUGCUGUUCUCUUUCUCUUCUAAAGUAAAGUAAUAGGAAUAAAAACUUUUCUUGUGUGACUUGCGUCUGCAAUUAAAAUUAUCUGAAAUUGCAAAAUAAAACUUUUGAACAAUCUCAAUUAUGGAAAAUUUAUCUGUAGCUAAAAUUAAGUAUAAUCAAUUUGACUCCGAUAACUGAGGCUCUAUUUGAACUAACAAUCCAAUGUCUACCACCCAUAGGCCGAGAGAAUUUAGAAUUUCUUACAUUCACCAUGUUGGGUGUAAGAUCAAGUCUUGAGUAAUGCCCCAUGACAUGAAGUUUUAUAUAAAAGCUUAUCUUUACUACUUCAAAUCAGCACAGGCUGAGAGUAUAUAAUGUAUAAAUGUUUGGUAUGAUUUUUUAACGCAACAAUAUUUGCUAAAUUUCUUAUUGGCUAAACUAUAUAUUCUUUAUAGC
rnacentral:lncRNA from 1 species